GAACAAGAAACAUAUACUAAUUUUAGAUCCGAAAAUAUCAAACAAAAUACGAAAAAAAUGAAACUUAAACCAACUAACCAGAUCGAAACCAUGACGAGCUCGAACGGAAUAAAAUCUGCCCGGAACUUUUGAAACCCAAAAUAAACUCGAAUCUACCCAGAACUUUUGAAACCCAAAACAAACUCGAAUCUACCCGGAAUCUCAACAAUGAUCUCGAUCAAUCCACAACCAACAGGGCAAUAUAUAUACUAUAUAUAUAUAUAUAUAUAUAUAUAUAUAUAUGGAGGUGGGUGGGGUUUUGGAUGUCCUUUUUAGUCCAGCGGCCAUGGAGGUCGUCGUUUGGUUUCGUUGCUGGCUGGAGGAGCGGUUGACGAUGAUGGCUGGUGGUUCUGCAUGGUUCAGUGUCGUCGUGUGGGUGGUCUGUUAUAUGAUGAUGAGGCGACAAACUGGGUUAUAGCAUGGGCCUAGUAGUGUCGAGUUUCUUUUGCUGAGAAUAUUUCAGUUUGGGCUUCACGUUUUUAGCUUAACUGAAUCCUUUGCCUAGUGACAAC
rnacentral:lncRNA from 1 species